GUACACGCUGUGACUAGCAUAUCAAUAAGCGGAGGAAAAGAAACUAACAAGGAUUCCCUUAGUAACGGCGAGUGAAGCGGGAAGAGCUCAAAUUUGAAAUCUUAAAGGUCUACCUUGCACGAAUUGUAGUUUAAAGAAGUGUUUUCUGUGACGAUCUGGUAUAUAAGUUCUUUGGAAUAGGACAUCAUCAGAGGGUGAGAAUCCCGUCUAUGAUUGCAUAUUGUCAGCUUUGUGAUACACUUUCAAAGAGUCGGAUUGUUUGGGAAUGCAGUCCAAAACGGGAGGUAAAUUUCAUUCUAAAGCUAAAUAUUGGCGAGAGACCGAUAGCGAACAAGUACCGUGAGGGAAAGAUGAAAAGAACUUUGAAAAGAGAGUUAAAUAGUACGUGAAAUUGUCAAAAGGGAAGCGUUUAACACCAGUGUUGUUUUCUGAAAAUCAACCUCUGUUAGCUUUAUGCAUGUUUGUUUAGACCUAAUCAGCUAUCAUUCAUGUUCUAUUGUUUGCAGUGGUGCACUUUUCAGUUUACAGGUCAACAUCAGUUUUUUUUACCGUAAAAAAGUUAAAGAAAGGUAGCUCAUGGCUCCGGUCGUGAGUGUUAUAGUCUUUUUCCUAUGCGGUAGGAGAGACUGAGGUCUGCAGUGUAGGCUAUUUGGCUAGAUACUCAGGUGCUAUGUGAUACCAUUUCAUAAACAACUUGUUGAUUAUGUUUUGUCUAUUGCAUACUCGCUUGUACUAUCAUACCUACGCUUAGGAUGUUGAGUAGCGACAUACGCAC
rnacentral:rRNA from 1 species